AUGGAAGUGGUUGAGAGUAUUGGGGCCAGCGGAGGCCUCAUACUAUUCUGGCGAAAUCCUAUUUUGCUGGAACUGAUAGAUAAGACCAAAAACUUCUUAGAUGUGAAAGCUGGAAGUUCACCGGAAGAAAGCUGGAGGUUUACUGGGUUCUAUGGUGAACCCAAAUGGGAGGAUAAACACCUCUCAUGGGACUAUUUGAGGAAUCUGCAUACACAAUCAUCUCUGCCUUGGGUGGUUGUAGGCGACUUCAAUGAGAUAUUAUACUCCCACGAAAAGGAAGGGGGCGCCCCUCGCCCACUUCGGAUGAUGGAGAAUUUCCGGAAUGCACUAGUUGACUGUGAGCUUGAUGAUAUUGGCUUUUUUGGGGAACAGUUCACCUGGAGAUGGAGACGUAUACGAGAACGGUUGGAUCGUGCCGUGUGUAAUGCAGAAUUCCAGGGUCUCUUUCCGCAUUCAACUAUUACAAAUGCGCCUGACCUUAAAUAUGAUCACAGACCUGUUGUGCUUGAUACCGAAGGAGAUGCGACGGUAUACAUACAGGGAGAUAGGCAACGACAAUUUGAAGCUCGUUGGCUACAAGAGAAUGGAGUGAUGGAUAUAGUAGCGGAAGCAUGGACACGAACACCAGCCUCGGCAUCUUUGUCCGAGAGAACGGCCGGAGUACAUAGUGAACUCCAUGAAUGGGACCGAUUGGUUCUGAAGUCUCCACAGCGCAGACUGAAGAACUUAAAGGAGGAGCUGCAGGCCCUGCGGUCGGGGCCACUCACUAAUGAGUCGGCAGAUCGGCAGAGGCAACUUUUGAUUGAGAUAGAAGAAGCUAUGGAAAAAGAAGAGAUUUACAGGCUUCAGAGCCAGGGCGAACUGGUUAAAAUAUGGUGA
rnacentral:rRNA from 1 species